rnacentral:rRNA from 1 species
UACGUAGGGUGCAAGCGUUAAUCGGAAUUACUGGGCGUAAAGCGUGCGCAGGCGGUUAUGUAAGACAGAUGUGAAAUGCCCGGGCUCAACCUGGGAACUGCAUUUGUGACUGCAUGGCUAGAGUGUGUCAGAGGGGGGGUAGAAUUCCACGUGUAGCAGUGAAAUGCGUAGAUAUGUGGAGGAAUACCGAUGGCGAAGGCAGCCCCCUGGGAUGACACUGACGCUCAUGCACGAAAGCGUGGGGAGCAAACAGG